rnacentral:misc_RNA from 1 species
CAACCCUCGAACCCUCCGGGGGUCGGCGUUGGGAUCGGCCCUUUACGGGGCCGCCCCGAAAUACAGUGGCGGUCUCGCCGCAGCCUCUCCUGCGCAGUAGUUUGCACACUCGCAUCGGGAGCGCGGCGCGUCCAUUGCCGUAAAACACCCAACUUUCUGAAAUG